AUGUAUCAAAAUGAAAUGAGCCGAGGACAAAGCUCUCCGUAUGUGAUCACACUGGCUGUAUAUCUACAAAACUACAGCUCCCACCUGUGUUGGAUUAAUAGCAAGCAGGGUUUGCAAGCAACACUUUUAUUUCGAAGAAUAUUCACCUGUUCUGGUAUAAACAGGAUGAGCAGUCAUUUCUAUUUAAUGCUAUUUGUUUUCAUUCUCACAGUGCAAGCUGAAAAUGGAGACCUGCAAGGUUAUCCCUAUCCGUCACCGCCAGCAGCAGCAGAAGUUCCAGUCUCAAUAGAGUCUGUGUCUAAAGAGCACAACAACAAAGGUCAUGGUGGAGCAGUAACAAUGCCCACAGAGAAUAGCCACCUCCAGACUGUGGCUGUAAGUGCAUCCCCGGGGACAGAUUUGUUCCAUACGCCACAUGAAAGGCACAAUUUCACGAACGCCACAACUGCUGAAGAUGCAAUUGCUGCUUCAUCAACUGGAGGCUUUGUUUGGAAAGAGGGCUCCGAUUUACCUAUGCCAGCUGAGGCCACUGAAGCAAAUCUCACAUUGAUCUCUAAUUAUGAAGCUGGAUUUGAAUCGAUGAAGAAUGGCACCGUGAUGCCUGUGGCUCAUUUGUCCAAAGGCGUGGAGGAAGAGAAAGAGAAAGCAUCAGAAUUGCCGCUUCACUCUCUACUUGUUAACAGGAAUCCAAGAAUCGCUGAGUCUAUCACUGUUAUGUCCACACGACGGAGGCUGGGAGUACCUAUGGUGACUGCCACUCGUCCUCACAUAAUUGAUAACUGGGCCAGGUCAAAUGACAAUGAGGAAAAACGAGGCCAAGACGCAGAUGAAAAUGGGAUUUUGGAAUUGGAAAGAAACAAGUAUCCAUUGAGUGAGUCAGAAUCCAUCUUGCAUGACAGAAAGGAAGUUUCUUUGACUACGGAGCGCGUGAUGACAAACAUGUGUUUGAAUUGCCUGCAAGAAAAAAGGCCAUCGUCAACAGAAAAAAUGGCUGUUCUGUCUGCGUUUUUCGACCGAGGCAGCUCACUCAGUCUUGGAGGAAAUGGAAAUAUGCUUACUGUAAACUCCAGUCACCACAAGGCCUCAAUGCCGAGCUCAUUUGAAGCGACAACAAAGAAACAAGAGGACAGAACAGUAGUAUUUGAUGGUGCCAAAACAUCCAGAAAGAGCACAUUUGAUUUCUCUGUAAAUCUUUUGGAUGGGCUAGAUUACGAGCUCAUACCACCCCUUUCCUCAUUAAACUCUGAAAUGAAUCUCAGUAAAACCAUGUUGAAUGAUUCAUUUGCUAGUACAUCUUUCUCAAACUCGGGAACGAUUGAAGUCAAGGCAAACACAACCAGAACAGUGUUUCUUACUUCAAAGGUGGAAAAUAUGACAGUUUCCAGAUUGAGUGAUAUUAGCAAAUCUUUUGAUAAAAGGUUGUUAUCAACAACCAGCAUGCCUUAUCCUUCAACUUCAGAGAUCUUUCACACUUUAUUAUUAUCAUUGAGAGAUAAAGAAGAAAAGAGAUCUGGGAAGACUGUGAAUCUCAGAAACCAGUCAAAAUUGGUUUCUCAAAUCCAAGAUAAUUCAUCUGUAAAACUACAAAACAUAUCCUCCAGUUUACUUCAUAGUUUUCUUGGCAAUCACACAUUGGCGGGUGUUGACAUUACAAAUAAGGACACAGAGUUUAGUUUAGAAAAUGGGGGAGGGGAAGAGCGGGAGCAUGCUGUUGGGCAAGUUAUGACAAUUCCUCUCACCAAUGCUCCAUCUCCUUCUGUCCAUGUUCUCUCUGACCAGAACAUUGAAAACAGUGGGAUUAAUGACUCCAACAGUGGGGUUAAUGACCCCAUCAGUGGGGCUAAUGACCCCAACAAUGGAUCAAUGAUAAGUGGUAUGCUAGACUCGUUUAAUUCUCUCUUUAGCCAAGCUCGUGAAAUAAUCACAUCAAAAAGCCACACCACUGACCACAUUGAUGAAUCAGCCUUGCCUAUGAGAAUGCCAUCAAUCGAAAGCCAAAGUGCAACAACAUCCUUCCGCUCUACGAGGCAGACCACGGCAGCUGUCAAAGUUCCUCCUGCCUCUCAGGCUCUGACAGGGAGUGCGAAAUCUUUGAUGUCUGUGUUGAGUACCACUGGCCACCUGCCAGCACAGCCCAGUGUUCUGUUCAAAGAGCAGCAGCCUAUGAGCCUCCUGCCAGAAGUCCCUAACAUGCAACGUGCAUCUGUAACUAUGAUGAGAACAUUGUCCAAAAAGCCAUAUUCUAAGAGUGCCGACAAUGCAAACGAUAUCGAUAAACGGACUGCGCCUCCAGUUGUUUUGUCACAGACAGUGAAGCCAAGUGCUAAAGUAAAUGCUCAGUUGCCCAGAACAACAGAGAAAGGACUCACGUUUUCCGCAAAGCGUAUUUCUGAAACCACAAGUAAGUUAGACAUUUAUGUGUCCGCCAUGAUGACGACAACAACACACGUCGAUGUGAAAAGGUCAACCGAACAAAGACUUGCCGUAGGUCGCGGUGACAUCAAGUCGAGUGGUGACACCUUUCGAAUCUCUGCAGACAGUGCUGGGAACCUUGAACCACCUAAAGAAUUGAAAAAUGUGAACAUACCAAAGCUGAAAAACAACAGAGGACAGGAGUCUGACUUCUCUCAGCCUCAAGGUUCUCUUGAGGAGGUGACAGAAAUGACAAUGGACAAGAGCAGCACUGUUCACCAUGGGAUAAUGAAAACCACAGAAAGGCUGGCUGGAGAGGAAAAACACACUUCUCCAAACACGUCUCCCUCCCAUCUUUUAAUGAAACUGUUGGGAGAAACGGCAAGAGACAUUCAUCGGGCUGAAAAUCUCUCUGAAUCGCUGGAAGAAGAAAAUAAGUCAUUCUCCAGCCAAGCGCCAAGUCAUAAAAUGCCAGUGCAGACUGUGAUAACCCCAAGCCAGACACUAUCCCGAAUGGUAUCUUUUAAUAAGAAGCCACAUAUUGUGUCUAAACCACAGCAAUUCUCUACCCAUAGGGUCACGCUUACAAAAUAUGCCGAUGCGUCGACAAAACAUAAGCAAAGCAAUCAGCAAAGGCACUCAACAAAAGGUAAAAAACAAGUAUCUAUGACGACUUCCUCGCGGAGCACAGGCCCUCCAAAUCAAAUCAGAAAUGUGAAUGGAACAUUUGACGUCUCUCCAGAGAGUGUGAAAUCAACGUUUUCUACACCUGACAGUGUUGGAAAUCUGUUUUCACUUACCGCUGCAAAAUCGUUAAUCCCAGUUGGGCAGUCAACUAUUCCGCCUAAUAUUGCAGUAAAGACAUCUGCUUCCCACACAUCAGUAAUUCAACAUGUUUCAGCUCAAAAGCAUCACAUAAGCAUUUCGACAUCAACAACAUCAGGAAACUCAGUCUCUCAGUCCAUAACUGUUGGAAAACAUCUACAGCGUGUAGGACCGGCGACACCUCUCUUUGACAUUGUUAAAGAGGACGUCAUGACCUCUGACAUCACUGAGGCAUUAAAGGGGAGCCACCUUGUUCCCCUCUUACCGCCUCGUCCGUAUAAUGACACAUCGACUAGUCCACCCACCGACAAUUACUCGCCCACAGGGCCACUUACCGCCAGCCUGGCUUUGCAUCAUCGCCAAGGGCAAUCUUCUACUGAGAUAAUGCCUUUCGGCGCUCCAUCUCAAAGCCAAUGGGACUCGUUUACAGAUUCGGAGGAGAAAGAGGAACGGCAUUCAAAUACCUCAAAUGCUUCUGCCGAUAACGAGCAAAUAAGCCCUUCAGAGGCUCCAAUAGUGCAUGAAGUGAAAAGUGAGCAUUCUGGGUUUAGCACAGGGACGGUGCCGUUCGCUGCCGAUAGUUCAGCUGCCACCAGCCACAUUAACUUAACUCAAUCACGACCUGAUGAGACCAUGGGAUUGAGGGUCAAGGAACCCGCCCUGCCACGUGCACUACUGCAACAGACCACUAAUGGGGUCGGGAAUGACCAUGCUUUGUCUGGAGUAAGUCCAGCGCAUGAGUCUGGUAGAAAGAUCCUGGGGUCUGGGAGUGGGUCAGAUCCAUUGGCCUUGCACCAGAGAAUUGGGUUAUCAUCCCCUGAUCUCCUCACUGGAUUAGCGGUCAUUUCCGACGAUAUUUGUGCCACUGGAAACUACACGGCCGAGAUGAACUUGAACCUGGAACGCGACGUUCUGCCCGGAGACUUGGUCCCGGCUCUGGGGAUUCUCCAGGUGGUCAUCAACCUGAAAACCAACAACAGCCAGGUGAUCCUAGAGAUAAAGUCCUGCUGUCUCUCGCCCACUGUUCAGCUUGAUGACAUCAACAUAACCUGUUAUGUGUUUUCCAGGUUACCGCUGAACCCGCGAGGAAUCAGGCUGUUACCCAGCAUCCUGUCAAAGCGCGCCAGCUUCACCAUCAGUCUCUUCCAGAUGAUUAAUUACUCCAUGGCAUACCUACACUGCGAUCUGAGCAUCUGCCUCAGGAACCAUACCGAGUGUGAGAGGCAGUGUCUUCAGCACAGAGACCUCUUCUCUGAAGAGGGUCCAGAGGCUAUCACCAAUCUGAGGAACCGCAUAUCCUUUGGUCCCAUGUUGAAAGGAGCAGAGAAUUCUUCUCUCCCGGGGGAGAUGGAUACAGCAGCUGAGAUGGAGAUUAUGCUUGUCAUCCUGGGGAUGGUGGUGGGGUGUUCGCUGAUGACGGGGACCCUGCUGCUUCUCUGGAUGGCCUAUAGACGGCGGAGGGCCGAUUGGAUGGUUUACUCAGAGUCCAGAGCGUGCUGCGGCUGCCUGCGUAGAGGAGACAUGAUCCUACCAUAGCCAAGUAGGAGACAAUGGUCAAUCACGUCAGCCUGCAGACCAGACCAGACACUGACCAGAAUCAAUCCAAUUCACUCCUAUAAUAAGUGAUUCCCGGGCAGAGCUUCUGUGGUCCCAAAUCUCACUCCCUUCACCGACGCAGUGAAUGCCUUACCUUUACACUGUAGUAAUAUGACACAGAAACACAUGUACAGAACAGAUUACCUGAUGGUCGAUUAUCUCGGUCAAUUUUUUUGCAUGGUAACAAUUGCUAAUUCACCAAACAACUGUGCACAGUGAAGAUGAAUUGACGAUCAAGAGUGUUUUAUGAUCAUGUGCAUUUUAACACGAUGUGCGUAUUGUGUAUACACCAUAUUAUUAUUUCUAGUCUAUUGUACUAAGUCCUCUAACCCUGCCACUAUCUGGAAGCAAAUAGUUUGUUAAAAAAAAAGUUUAUUAUCCUCUCAAUGAUUCUCAAACAUCAUCUCAAGCAUGAAGCAUAUUAUCAUACCAAUUCUGGCCAAUUGCUUUUAAAAACAAUACAGAUCACGGGCUACUUUCACUAAGACACAAAUGACAGCGACAACUUAUUAACAGCUCUGUCUGCACUACUUCAUCAUGCACCAUAUUACCUCAACUGCUACAACAGUUUGUUCCUGAUUUGCCACAAGCUCAAAUGAUUAAACGACUUCCACAAUGCUCAGAUGGAUGACUGGUCCUUUCAUACACAUGCAUGAAUAAAUGCUAAUGAAUAUCAUUGUAUGCAAAGCUCAUAUACGGUGUUCACUGUAGCAUUGCCAACAGAACAGAAUAUGAAAUGUGUUGGUUCGUAAUUCAUCACUUCUUAAUUGUGUUUGGGAAAGUUAACAGAGUUGUGUCCCUCUGCACACCAUGUAGAUGAGAUACAGGUACCCAACCAAUUAGAGUGCAAAGGAGGAAUAGCAGCCAGGGGCUUGUUUUAGUGAUGGAUUGAGGUUUGAGUGUCUAUGGACACACCCCUCAGGUAGCCUCUUACGACUCUGCUCUCUGCGAGAUUGGAAUAAUCAGUGGCAGAUCCCAUUGGUGGAUCGUUCAGAAGGCAAUCCCAAUAGUAUGUUAGCAAGCUGCGUUGUAGCCAAAAUGUACUGAUGUAGGAUAGCCGGAGGCAAAGUCUGGUCAGAGGGAGGUCUGCCAUGGAUGCCCUGGUGACAGUUAGUACAGAGAUAGCCAAGGUCCUGAAAAUAAAAGGCGUGAUGAAUGUUGUGUAUUUUGAAAAAGCUUACAAUACCAUGUGGAGGGACGGGUUGUUGAUCAAGCUGAGUGCAUUGGGCAUUGGGGGACGUCUGUAUAACUGGAUCAUGGACUUCCUGUUUGAUCGGGUCAUACGGUUGAGGGUGGGGUCAGAAUUGUCAAUGUGGUUUGAAGUGGACAAUGGUACUCCUCAGGGAAGUGUGGUUAGUCCGGUGUUGUUCACCCUGAUGAUAGAUUACAUAUUUAAGGAGGUGGUACAGGGUGUGGCCUUGUAUGCUGAUUUAAAAAAUAUAUAUAUAUUUCACCUUUAUUUAACCAGGUAGGCAAGUUGAGAACAAGUUCUCAUUUACAAUUGCGACCUGGCCAAGAUAAAGCAAAGCAGUUCGACACAUACAACAACACAGAGUUACACAUGGAGUAAAACAAACAUAUAAUCAAUAAUACAGUAGAAAAAUAAGUCUAUAUACAAUGUUAGCAAAUGAGGUGAGAUGAGAGAGGUAAAGGCAAAAAAAAGUCCAUGGUGGCGAGGUAAAUACAAUAUAGCAAGUAAAACACUGGAAUGGUAGAUUUGCAGUGGAAGAAAGUGCAGAUAGAAAUAAUGGGGUGCAAAGGAGUAAAAUAAAUAUAUACAGUAGGGGGAGAGGUAGUUGUUUGGGCUAAAUUAUACUGUAGAUGGGCUAUAUACAGGUGCAGUAAUCUGUGAGCUGCUCUGACAGCUGGUGGUUAAAGCUAGUGAGGGAGAUAAGUGUUUCCAGUUUCAGAGAUUUUUUGUAGUUUGUUCCAGUCAUUGGCAGCAGAGAACUGGAAGAAGAGGCGGCCAAAGGAAUAAUUGGUUUUGGGGGUGACCAGAGAGAUAUACCUGCUGGAGCACGUGCUACAGGUGGGUGCUGCUAUGGUGACCAGCGAGCUGAGAUAAGGGGGGACUUUACCUAGCAGGGUCUUGUAGAUGACCUGGAGCCAGUGGGUUUGGCGACGAGUAUGAAGCGAGGGCCAGCCAACGAGAGCGUACAGGUCGCAGUGGUGGGUAGUAUAUGGGGCUUUGGUGACUAAACGGAUGGCAUUGUGAUAGACUGCAUCCAAUUUAUUGAGUAGGGUGUUGGAGGCUAUUUUGUAUAUUACAUCGCCGAAGUCGAGGAUCGGUAGGAUGGUCAGUUUUACAAGGGUAUGUUUGGCAGCAUGAGUGAAGGAUGCUUUGUUUCGAAAUAGGAAGCCUAGAUUUAACUUUGGAUUGGAGAUGUUUGAUGUGAGUCUGGAAGGAGAGUUUACAGUCUAACCAAACACCUAGGUAUUUGUAGUUAUUCUAAGUCAGAACCGUCCAGAGUAGUGGUGCUGGAGGCAGGUGCAGGCAGCGAUCGGUUGAAGAGCAUGAUUUUAGUUUUACUUGUAUUUAAGAGCAAUUGGAGGCCACGGAAGGAAAGAUGUAUGGCAUUAAAGCUCGUCUGGAAGGUUGUUAACACAGUGUCCAAAGAAGGGCCGGAAGUAUACAGAAUGGUGUCGUCUGCGUAGAGGUGGAUCAGAGACUCACCAGCAGCAAGAGCGACAUCAUUGAUGUAUACAGAGAAGAGAGUCGGUCCAAUAAUUGAACCCUGUGGCACAUAUGGAAGAGACUUGUUGAGUAUAUUAAAAUUCAUUGUAGGAAGGUACUGAACCUCAUGAGGACAGUGGCAGGAUUUGAUAGGGGGUCAGAUAGAUAAACACGGCUGUGUAUGUAUCAGGCAUUGAUCAGGCAAAACGGUACUACAGCGCCUGGAUAGGAUACAGUCAAGGGCCCUGAGAUUGGGGGGCAGGUAGCCUAGUGGUUAGAGCGUUCGACUAGUAACCGAAAGGUUGCAAGAUCGAAUUCCCGAGCUAACAAGGUAAAAAUCUGUCAUUCUGCCCCUGAACAAGGCAGUUAACCCACUGUUCCUAGGCUGUCAUUGAAAAUAAGAAUUUGUUCUUAACUAGGCAAGUCAGUUAAAUAAAGGUCAAAUUAAAAAUAAUGUGUGUUGGUGCCUUCAGGAUGACACCUGUUGAGGCAUUUCAGGUGGAUAGUGGGUAACUGCCACUGAGGAUAAGGCAGGACAAACUUGCAUUAGUGUACUGGAUGAGAUUUAAAGGGAAUUCAGAAGGACAUCCUGAGGUCACGGUAACUGGGGAAUGCGGGGAGUGGGUAAGAAGAGGGUGUACAGAUGGACAAUUGGGCAGAAAGUGGUAGAAUAUGGACUCGGGGAGAGCGAGAUAGAGCCAGCAAUUGGAAAUGUUCCUCCGUGGCUGUUUCUGAAACCAAGUGUAGAUGUGGAUAUUAUUGAGGGUAGGAGAGAAUGGGGUGAGACGGUGUGUGUGUGUGGAGAAAUAUACAGUAUAGAUGAAUUGGUUUUAUUUUUUUUUAAGGAUAUAUACAGAUGGUUCAAAGGAUUCAGGGGGCAUGGGUGUACAUCCAAGAUUUUAAUGUUAGAGUAUGUAAGUGGUUAACUGAUUAUGUGUCAGUGCAUGUUGAUAUGUUUGAGAGGCAUGGAGGAGGUGAAACCACUCAAGAGUGGAGAUCUGUUCUGAUAAGGCUGCAGUGUUGAGUGGUGUGGAGACGGGCAGGUCGGAUAGGGGAGACUUGUUUGUGGAGAUCAUGCUGUUAAUGGGAUUGGAGAGGAUGGGUGUGGUAGUAAGCUUUUGAUGGGUUCCUGCCCAUGUGGCUAUGGAGGGUAAUCAGAAGGCUGAUGUGGUGGAUAAGUGUGCGGUGAGGAGAGAGGGGGUAGAUAUUCAGGUCACGUUGGGCCGCAGGGAAGUUAAGUCCUUGAUCCGGGCAAAACGGCUCAAUCUUUGGCAAAGGGAGUGGGAUGCUAGUAGUAGUUUAUCCUGUGCAUCGGUCAGUUAAGGAAGAGGUGGGGAGUAUGAGAUGUAAGAGAGAGGAAGUUGUGUGGGUUAGACUACGGUUCGGGCACACAGGUCUGAAUGUCACGUUGUGGAUGAUAGGGACACAUGAAACAGGUCUGUGUGAUGUGUGUUUCGUGGGGGAAAUGGGGGAGCAUGUGUUGAUAUUUUGUGAACUGUAUGACGUAGACCGGGAGAAAUUGUGAGAAAGGGUUAGAGAGGCUGGACAGGGUUGGGGUUUGGGUGGUGUAGUGGGGGGAGGAAAUGGGAAGGAGGUGGUGUCUAUUUCACUUUCUUAGAAGAACAGGACAAAUGAAGAGAAUUUAAUGUAGGUAGGCCGUGACUGGCCUCACACUCCAGUACAGUAGGUGGCAGUGUAUGCACCUUAAAAGUUGGAUGCAAAUGUAAUCUCUCCUCCUUCAGUCGUCUUUUUCUUCUUCUGUGGACUUUAUAUGGCGGUUGGCAACCAACUUUAAGAUGUAUUACCACCACCAACUGGACUGGAGUGUAGACCUCAGUUCAUCUUUCAAUCACCCAGGUGGGUAUAUGAGCCUAAAAACCAAUGAGGAGAUGCGAGAGGCGGGACUUGUAAUGCGUGAAGUUUCAGAAAUAGAAUCAAGUUCUAUUUUAGUGCCUGGCUAUGCAGACACUCAUUGACGUGCGCCAACAGUUUAGAUGAAAUUAUUGAAU
ensembl:lncRNA